CAUAACUAUCUUAUUCCUCCGACCACGAAGAAGAAGGCAUAACUAACUUAUUCCUCCGACCACGAAGAAGAAGGCAUAACUAUCUUAUUCCUCCGACCACACUAGUAAAGGGCCCAGUGAAAUGCCUUGGUGCUGUAACUGUUAACCAUAAUCAAGAGAACAGAAGGUUUCCUGCUCAGAGGAAUAUAUCUGAAGGAAAAAAGACUUAGAGAAACCAAACAGAAAACAAUCUCCCACUAUCACAAUACAUAUGUAGUUAUCCCAUAACACAGGCCAGCCAUAGGUGAUGCUUCAGUCCUCAACUACCCCAGGAUCCAAUAUGUUGUUGUCCCAUAACACAGGCCAGCCAUAGGUGAUGCUUCAGUCCUCAACUACCCCAGGAUCCAAUAUGUUGUUGUCCCAGAACACAGGCCAGCCAUAGGUGAUGCUUCAGUCCUCAACUACCCCAGGAUUCAAUAUGUUGUUGUCCCAUAACACAGGCCAGCCAUAGGUGAUGCUUCAGUCCUCAACUACCCCAGGAUUCAAUAUAUUGACAGUCUCACAGACGUUUCCAGUUUCUACUGAGCCAAUAGCUUCGUUUGCUGCUGGUACCCAUCCCAAAUUCCAUCAGGGCUACAAAUGGGAAGAGAUUGAAGAAAUCCGCUGACAGAGCAGUGUGUGUGUGUGUGUGUGUGUGUGUGUGUGUGUGUUUCCUCAGCUAGUCUCAUGGUCUUCAUAUUACAGGUUCUGCAGCAAAAAGUUUAUAUGGUGCUGGUUCAAUAACAGUUGGUGGUUCUACCACUCUCC
ensembl:lncRNA